GUUUAUUAUCUAUAUCUGUGUUUUGAUAAAUCUAGUAUCUACGGGCGACAGUCGUCACCAAUUAUUUUUGUAAAUCAUUGUGCUUAACAUUGUAUCUGACAUCUGUACGUGGCAGUUCCAUUUAUUGUUUACAUUGUACACUUUUUUUAAUACAAUAAAUAUCAAGCAGUAAAGACAUUUUUAAGUGGAACAAUGAACAAACAUUAUAAUACAAUGAAAUGUUUCGUAAGAAACAUGUGUUUUAGGAUCAUAAAAAUCCGAUUUCGCAGAGACAAGUCGAAAAUAAAACGAAGUCAUAAUUGAACUGCAACAGGCAGGGAUCAAGUUUACGAGGAUACAAUAAUCAUGGUUCGCAUUUAAAUCUUAAUCAUUUUCUAUGGACAAAAAUACACCACAUUCUACACUGAGUAGGUUCUAUACCCAGAAGUAAAACGUCGAUUGUUGGAUAAGAUGAGUAUUCCACAUUCACAUCUCAUACUGUUAAUCAAGGUUUCAAUGACCAAAACAAAAAGUCAUCUAUUACACCUCAAUUUACACAUAAAACUCCAGCAAAGAAAUAAUAAGUUGACAAUGAAGAUAAUAUUGAUUUCCUCUGCCAGCACUGAGUGCAAUUCAAUAUGUAUUUGGUUAUAAUAUUUCUAGAACCGACAGAGGCAUGUUUAAAACAGAACUUGCUACAGAAUAUAAAUAUUAUAUUAUACUAUCUAGGUACCUUAUUUACCAUAACGAUUUUCUAUUUCUAUAUUUACUUUUCACUCUUCACUGGUUUUCCUGUUCUUAAUUCUGAUCCCCUCUCAACAAGUACAAACAACUGUAAUUUUCACCAAUUUGAGUUCACUUAUUAUUUAUACUUUUAUUUCCAAUAAUUUGUACAUUUUUUGCUUUUAGUAAUAUUUUGUAUGUUUAUUUUUAUACAAAAAUGUGUGUUUAUUUACUUAACUAAAUUUUUAAAUUACUUUUAUAUUACUUUCUGUUUUAUUUAUUAUCUUGUUUAAUUAAAAUAUGUAUAAUUAUUAUUUUCUUAUUUCUAUUGUGUUUAGAUCAUUAUAAUUUUAUAUUUUUAAUAGAGUAU